UUAAAUUGAAGAGUUUGAUCAUGGCCCAGAUUGAACGCCGGCGGCAGGCCUAACACAUGAAAGUCGAACGGUAACAGGAAGCAGCUUGCUGCUUUGCUGACGAGUGGCGGACGGGUGAGUAAUGGCCGGGAAACUGCCUGAUGGAGGAGGAGAACAUCGGGAAACGGUAG
rnacentral:rRNA from 1 species